rnacentral:rRNA from 1 species
UACGGAAGGGGCAAGCGUUGUUCGGAAUCAUUGGGCGUAAAGGGCGCGUAGGCGGUUUUGUUUGUCCGCUGUAAAAGUCCACGGCUCACCCGUGGAGAGUCGGCGGAAACGGCAAGACUUGAGGCUGGGAGGGGUUGGUGGAAUUCCCUGUGUAGCGGUGAAAUGCGUAGAUACGGGGGAGAACACUCGUGGCGAAGGCGGCCAGCUGGCCCAGUCCUGACGCUGAGGCGCGACAGCGUGGGGAGCAAACAGG